rfam:Dipodomys ordii contig_98370, whole genome shotgun sequence.
GGGAAGGUGGCUCAGUGGUAGAGCGCUUGCCUUGCAUGCAUGAAGCCCUGGGUUAUAUUCCUCAGCAGCACCA